CUGAUGGAGCACGCCGCGUGAGUGAAGAAGGUCUCGGAUCGUAAAGCUCUGUUGCACGGGACGAAAACCGAGCUUGAGAAUAUUGAGUUUGGGUGACGGUACCGAGCGAGGAAGCCACGGCUAACUACGUGCCAGCAGCCGCGGUAAUACGUAGGUGGCGAGCGUUGUCCGGAAUUAUUGGGCGUAAAGGGAGCGCAGGCGGACAUAUAAGUCCAUCUUAAAAGUGCGGGGCUCCAACCCCGUGAGGGGAUGGAAACUGUAUGCCUUGAGUGCAGGAGAGGAAAGCGGAAUUCCCAGUGUAGCGGUGAAAUGCGUAGAUAUUGGGAGGAACACCAGUGGCGAAGGCGCGCUUUCUGGACUGUAACUGACGCCGAAGCUCGAAAGCCAGGGGGAACGAACGGGAUUAGAUACCCCGGUAGUCCUGGCCGUAAACGAUGAGUGCUAGGUGUAGGAGGUAUCGACCCUCCUGUGCGGAGUCAACGCAUAAGCAUUCCGCCUGGGG
rnacentral:rRNA from 1 species